CCCGGAAGAUGCCAGCUGGCAGCAAUUCUGCCUCUUCCCUUUGCAGGGCCAGCAUUAACCCCUUAGAUGCUGAACUGUGGAGAGGCUCAGCACUAGACACAGAACCAAUAGUCUUCAUAGAUUGCAUCACCAGCUCUCACAUUUGUGUAAGGUCUAGCCCUUAGGAUAAUAAAUCUCUUAUUCUGUAUAAUGUGUGGCCAUUUUGCUACUUCGAUAAAACCAUGGCUGCUGUAAGUAUCUGUGUACAACACUGUCUUGUUGCCUUUGCAUUGUGAACGGUAUGUUAAGCCUCAUGGUAUCCACUGUCUUAGGUAGAAGGAGAAGACUGGUGAUUGGUGGUAGAAGAAAAGGAAGAGAUGCUUAGAAAGGUAAAAAGCUUAUGUAGGAAUCUCUCAGGAAAUCCUCAAUGCUAAAAAUGUCUGUGCUAGUUAUCAUUUGUUGCUUCUCAUCUCCAAAUCCA
rnacentral:lncRNA from 1 species